UAUAGACAACACAGGGCACUAAGGAGACUAUCCAUCCAAAGGCUCCCAGUGUCACGUUCGUCAUAACGAGGAGACCAAGGCGCAGCGUGAUAAGAACAACAAAACAACAGUGACGCUAUAAGACACAAGUGCUGACAGGCAACUACAAAGCCACAAAACCAAAAUGGAAAAUGGCAACCUAAAUAGGAUCCCCAAUCAGAGACAACGAUAAACAGCUGCCUCUGAUUGAGAACCAAUUCAGGUCACCAUAGACCUACAUUUACCUAGACAUACCAAAACCCCAUAGAUAUACACAAAUCCUAGACAAGUGAUAAACACAGAUACCCACCCUCGUCACACUCUGACCUGACCAAAAGAAUACAGAAAACACAGAUAACUGAGGUCAGGGGGUGACACCCAGGAACAUGGCCCCCAUAACCAGGAGCAGGGCCGUUGCCUUCCAGCAGAUGUAGAGUGAGACCCCCAACUCCCCCAAAUGGUGCUGGCCAUCCAGGAGACAGGAACGAGCACCAGGAUUACAGCCAGGAUGAAGAUCAUUCUGGAGAUGAUCAUUCCUUUGGCCUUGGACGUUUUGUUAUUGAUGUGAUUGGUGCACUUGACCCUGACUAUGGAGACUCCCAGAACCCAGCCGAUGAUGGCAAUGACGGUCAUGGCUCGGUCGGCCUGCAGGUUCUGAGGUAACGCCAGCAUGGAGUUGUAGACCGUAUACUGCAUCAGUUCCCGGGUCAGGUCCCAGGUCACAUGAGAGGUGACAAUGUUGUAAGGCCUACUACACCUGUUGUAUUCGGGCACAUGUGACAAAUGACAUUUUAAUUGAUUUGAAGGUAGCCAGGCUGCACACUGGCUCAAUUAAAUUCCAUCACUAGUAUAUUAUAUGAUCUUAUGUUAACAUAACCCAGUGUUUUGCAAUAUAAAUGCACAGAACUGAAUUAAGCUUCAUAGUCUUCAAAAAGUCUUAGGGGAUCUUGUGCAAUAUUGCCAUGUUGCUAACUUCUGCAAAGGAAACAACGUAUCUGUUCAGAUGUGGGGCGGUAUGUGGUUGACACUUAACAGAGAUGCUAGUGGCAUUCAGUUAGAUUGAAACUACAUGCUGAAAAACCCUUGAGUGUGAAACAAAUAAUUUAAGGUUCGAUCCAUGGACUGAAAUGAACUAUACAAUAGACUAAAUUGACGAAUGAUAACAGUUUCAUAAACAUGGUUGAAAUAAUUACACACUAUGAUUUUGUUCAGAAGGUCCCUGUAACUGACUGUAGGUGUGUGAUUAACGUAAAAAAAUAUUUUAAGGUUGGAUUCAUGGACUGAUGGGCCGCCCCCAGGUGGUGAAUGUAGGAAACAAAUCUCCACCCUGCUGAUCCUCACCACUGGAGCCCCACAAGGGUGCGUUCUCAGCCUUCUCCUGCACUCCCCGUUCAUCUUUGACUGUGUGGCCAUGCACGCAUCCAACUCAAUCAUCAAGUUUGCAGACGACACUACAGUUGUAGGCCUGAUUACCAACAACGACGAGACAGCCUACAGGGAGGAGGUGAGGGCCCUCGGAGUGUGGUGUCAGGAAAAUAACCUCAUACUCAACGUCAACAAAAGAUAUUCGUGGACUUCAGGAAAUAGCAAAGGGAGUACCCCCCUAUCCACAUCGACGGGACAGUAGUGGAGAAGGUGGUAAGUUUUAAGUUCCUCUGCGUACACAUCACGGGCAAACUGAAAUGGUCCACCCACACAGACAGCAUGGUGAAGGAGGCACCAAAGAGCAAAAGCGCCUCUUCAACAUCAAGAGGCUGAAGAAAUUUGGCUUGUCCCCCAAAACCCUCACAAACUUCUACAGAUGUACAAACAAGAGCAUCUGGCAACUGAACCGACCUCAACUGAAUGGCUCUCCAGAGGUUAGUGCGGUCUGCACUGCGCGUCACCAGUGAAAAACUACCUGUCUUCCAGGACACCUGUAGCACCGGAUGUCACAGGAUGGCCAAAAAUAUCAUCAAGGACAACAACCACCCGAGCCACUGCCUGUUCACCCCACUAUUAUCCAGAAGGCGAGCUAAGUCCCCUCCUGUUCCCUGAUUAAGAGGUGAUGACCACUCCACUCCACUACCUUUGUCAACUUUAUCCUGACAUGAAUUGAAGCCAUGUCUCAUCAACUGGCACAUUGAAUGUUUCCCCUCCUAGCACUGUGAGGACCCCUAUACAUUUUCUCUGAACACCUCAACUCAUGCCUCAUACCCUCAUUCAAUCACUGCUGUGAUCCUUUUCCAACACUGUGUAAGUAGCCCUCUCACUCCCAUUCCCCAUAAUAUUGUACUAUAAAUGUAUUAAAUGCUUUAGGUUAAAAUAAUGAGUCUUUGACGAUUAUUGAAACACACGUCGUCGUCUCCCUGCUUUACGUGCCGUGGGUCUCCCAUCCUCCUCGAUGUUUCAAGUCACCAGCCUCCCCUGGUCAGAAAUGGGGAAGAGAUUAGUGGCGUUGGAAGAGUAUCUAACCACAUUCUGAGUCACAUGUUUCUUAAUCACACUCUACAGGAGAUGUGCUGCUAUUAUUACAGAGAACUUCCCUUCCUGUGAUCUGUGGCUAUUCCUUCAAGCAUUGUGCCUUCUUCACAGACCUGAAAUGACAACAAUAUCUCUGCUACUCUCACCGUGAUCUGGGAACCACCAGGCUGGGGAGACCUUCAGGAGGCUUGGUGUUAGGAGGAGGCACCUGAAGGACCGGGCUGUGGGGGAGCACUGGAGCUCUGGUGCACAACCUUGGCACGACUUCCCCAGGCUGGACAACUACUCUAGCCCGGACCCUCCAGAGUGCAGGCACAGGUUGAACCGGGCUGUGGGUAAGCACGGGAGAUCUAGUGCUUACUACGAGCACCUCUCCCUUAGGCUCCACUCCCACAUUUGCCCGGCACGAGCGGAGCGCCGGCAGAGGACGCACUGCACCCUCCCAGCGUCCCGGAGACACAGCACGCAGAGCCGGCGCAGGAUACCCUGGACCAAAACUGCCUACCGGUGACCAGACCCGCUGAGCAGGCACCAUACGCCCUGGCUCGAUGCCCACACUCGCAUGACACUCUCGGGGGGCUGCCCUAAAGCGCACCGGGCUACGGACACGUACUGGCGAGACCUGGCUUAGCUCCACACCUCGUGUGCCUCCCCCCAAAAACAUUUUUGGGGCUGCCUCUUGUACCUGUCGGACUGCCGUGCUGCCUCCUCAUAUCGCCGCCGCUCAGCUUUCGCUGCCUCCAGCUCUGCUUUGGGGCGGCGAUAUUCCCCAGCCUGUGCCCAGGGUCCCUCUCCGUUCAGUAUCUCCUCCCAUGUCCUGGAGUCCUGUGAUGCUGGUCGCUGUUGUUGCUGCUGCUGCUGCCGUCAUCGCUGUCUUUUACCACGCCGCUUGGUCCUUGGUUGGUGGGUGAUUCUGUCACGGUCUAUCUCCUCUUCAUCUGAAGAGAAGGAUCAGAGGACCAAAAUGUGGCGUGGUAUGUGUUCAUUGUGAAUUUGAAUAAAGAGAACAUUGAACACUGCAACACUAUACAAAAGAGUAACAAAAACAAUAAACCAAUGACGACCGUGAAGCUACAAAUGAGACCUGUGCUGACACAAGCCACUAACAUAGACAAUCACCCACAAACAAACAGUGCAACCCAGGCCACCUAAGUAUGAUUCUCAAUCAGAGACAACUAAUGACACCUGCCUCUGAUUGAGAACCAUACCAGGCCGAAACAUAGAAAUCCCAAAUCAUAGAAAAUCAAACAUAGACUGCCCACCCAACUCACGCCCUGACCAUACUAAAUAAAUACAAAACAAAGGAAAUAAAGGUCAGAACGUGACACCCUGAUUAAAGUCCUAAAGCACAUAAUAAUCUGAAAUCUUAGCCUACAUGUUUAGGUUUGUGCUCUUAAAUUUACCCUGAAGGUUCCUGCUCUGAGUCUGACUCUGCACUGACCACCACCUCCAGUUCUGCAGGAGCACCUGAAGCUCUAGUGCUGCUGCUGCUUCCUUCUCCACCUUUACAAAGAAAAUACUCUAUUAUCAUACUCACUAUCAUUAGUGUAUCAGUACUUUAAUACAGCUCUGAAAUAAAUUAAUUAAUUUAAUUUGGGAGUGGCCUUUUAAUUUUUCCCAGAGCUGAAUAAUAUAGUAAUAACUUGUAAUGCUGGUACUAAUGGCGCUAAUGAUCUUUGUCAUUGUGAUUGCCUGUGCUGUACGUUCAUGGAUAGAUUAUGGUUAGGUUACUGUAGCCUGUUUCGCUGUACAGUGUAUGUGCACUUUCCCUAGUUUAUGCGGCAUGAGUCAUGAUCUAAUGCUGGCAAGUCCAUAGUCUAGGUUACCUAUUUUUUACUAGUUGAAACAUAUUGCCUUCAAUGUCAUAUUAUGAUCGCUAUGUUGUUUUAGUUGGUUCCUUCCACACUCCUUCUGUAACAAGACUACACCUUGAUCUGAACAACCUGCAUCCACUAGACCUGUUAUCAACAGGCUCCACCCAGAUCACCUUGUGGUUAGUGAUCUGUCUAGUAUCCGUAGCGUGAGUACUAACUGUACCCCAAUGCAUUCUCGUGUCUUCAUAUUUGGCAACCUAUUCUGUGCUAA